UAUUUCGAUGGACUUUGGGUU
ensembl:piRNA 21ur-2875 ncRNA